UACGGAGGGUGCGAGCGUUGUCCGGAAUCAUUGGGCGUAAAGAGCGCGUAGGCGGCCAGAUAAGUCCGGUGUGAAAGUCAAAGGCUCAACCUUUGAAUGCCGCUGGAAACUGUCUGGCUAGAGUCCGGAAGGGGCGAGUGGAAUUCCUGGUGUAGCGGUGAAAUGCGCAGAUAUCAGGAGGAACACCAAUGGCGAAGGCAGCUCGCUGGAACGGUACUGACGCUGAGGCGCGAAAGCGUGGGGAGCGAACAGG
rnacentral:rRNA from 1 species